rnacentral:rRNA from 1 species
UACGGGGGGGGCAAGCGUUGUUCGGAAUUACUGGGCGUAAAGGGCUCGUAGGCGGCCAACUAAGUCAGACGUGAAAUCCCUCGGCUUAACCGGGGAACUGCAUCUGAUACUGGAUGGCUUGAGUUCGGGAGAGGGAUGCGGAAUUCCAGGUGUAGCGGUGAAAUGCGUAGAUAUCUGGAGGAACACCGGUGGCGAAGGCGGCAUCCUGGACCGACACUGGACGCUGAGGAGCGAAAGCCAGGGGAGCAAACGGG